CCUACGGGUGGCAGCAGUGGGGGAUAUUGCACAAUGGGGGAAACCCUGAUGCAGCGACGCCGCGUGUGGGAAGACGGUCCUCUGGAUUGUAAACCACUGUCCCCAGGGGCGAAGAUGACGGUACCUGGGGAGGAAGCUCCGGCUAACUACGUGACAGCAGCCGCGGUAAUACGUAGGGAGCAAGCGUUGUCCGUAAUUACGGGGUGAGCAGGGAGCGUAGGCGGGAUGGCAAGUUGGGUGUUAAAUCUACCGGCUCAACUGGGAGUCGCACUCAAACCUGCUAUUCGUGAGUGAAGUAGAGGCAGGCGGAAGUCCUAGUGUAGCGGGGAAAUGCGUAGAUAUUAGGAGGAACACCAGUGGCGAAGGCGGCCUGCUGGGCUUUUACUGACGCUGAGGCUCGAAAGUGUGGGGAGCAAACAGGAUUAGAUACCCUAGUAGUC
rnacentral:rRNA from 1 species